rnacentral:rRNA from 1 species
AGAGAUGGAAGAAUUAACGCCAUUGGUGGAUGCCUUGGCAAUUUGAGACGAAGAAGGACGCUUGCUCGAGAGCGAUAACAACGAUGAGUCCUUAAGCAGACGCUAUUAAUCGUUGGUUUCCGAAUGGAGCAAUCCCCUUAGUAGUAAUACUGAGGAUCCUGCUGAUUUAUCAGUAGGAGGACAACCUGGGGAACUGAAACAUCUAAGUACCCGGAGGAAAAGAAAACAAUAUGUGAUUCUGUCAGUAGCGGCGAGCGAAAGCAGAGCAGCCUAAACCAAGACGCAAGUCGAGGUGUUGCGGGACGCAGUAGGGAGUAACAAUCGGUAAAAAAAUGUUCUGGAAAGAACAACCAAAGUGCGUGAUAGUCGCGUAUUUCAAACUGAAUGUUACCUCGAGCGAAUCUCCCAAGUACUACGAGGCACGGCAAACCUUGUAGGAAACUGGGUCGGUCACGAUCCAAGGCUAAAUACUCAAAUUGACCGAUAGUGAACAAGUACCGUGAGGGAAAGGUGAAAAGUACCCCGAGAGGGGAGUGAAAUAGUUACUGAAACCAUUGGCUAACAAACAGACAGAGUCCCGAUUUAUCGGGAUAAUGUCGUGCCUAUUGAAGAAUGAGUCAGCGAGUGCUUGAUAAUUGCAAGUUUAACCCCAUCAUUUGGGGGAAGGCGGAGCGAAAGCGAGUCUGAAUAGGGCUAUUAGCAAUUGUCAAACGACCCGAAACUAGGUGAGCUAACCAUGAGCAGGGUGAAGCGUCGCGAAAGCGAAGUGGAGGCCCGUACCCGUUGUAGGUGAAAUUACAUGGGACGACUUGUGGUUAGGGGUAAUAUGCCUAUCGAACCUAGAGAUAGCUGGUUCUCCCCGAAAUAUAUUUUGGUAUAGCCUCUGUAGUUUAAGUCGAGGGGUAGAGCACUGGAUGAGUCUUGGAGUCUUCGGAUUACUAGACCCAACCAAACUCCGAAUACUCGACGGAUAUACAGGGAGUCAGUCCUGCCCGGAUAAGCGGGUGAGGUCGAGAGGGAAACAUCCCAGAUUCUCAUCUAAGGUUCCUAAGUAAUUGUUAAGUGGUUAAGGCCGUUUAUUUUCCAAUACAGCAGGAAGGUUGGCUCAGAAGCAGCCAUCCUUUAAAGAGUGCGUAACAGCUCACCUGAAUAUUAUUGCCUUCGGGCAGUAUGGAAGAUAGGCGCCAAACAUGAUCGGAGCUAAACAAUUCACCGAAGAUAGAAAUUUUGCCGCAAGGCAAUCUGGUAGGGGAGCGUACUACAUACUGCGAAGCAGUACUGUAAGGUAUUGUGGAGUGUGUAGUAGUGAGAAUGCUGACAUGAGUAGUGUAUCUGCCGAUGAAAUAUCGGCAUGCCGAAUUUCCAAGGUUUCCUCAGCAAUGUCAAUCAACUGAGGGUUAGUCGGAUCUAAGGAGCUGCCGUCUGGUAGUUCCGAUGUACAAGUCGUUAAUAUUCGACUACUGUUUGUAACGCGUUAUCAAGUAUGAAAUGACGAAGUGUGAUAUAAGUGGCCUUCUACAUGAGGGUUUAAGCACUGAGCGCAAGUGAAGUGUCAAUACAAUCGUUCGCGAGAAUGAGAGCGCUAUAAGUUGCGUUUCCCGGAAAAGUUUUAUACUGAGUUUUACAAAUAUCCGUACCGCAAACCGACACAGGUGGAAUGGUCGAGUAGACCAAGGCAAAUGGGUAAUGGUGGUUCAAGGAACUCGGCAAAAAAGCUGAGCGUAAGUUUUUCGAUAAGCUCUGUCCCCCUUUGGGGGAUUACAACAAACGUUUAUCAACCGACUGUUUAGCAAAAACAUAGGUCUCUGCAAACCAGAAAUGGAACGUAUAGAGGCUGAAACCUGUCCAGUACUGGUAAGUUAAUCACUGUGGCUGACGUCCCCCUUUGGGGGAAACAGGUCGCGGUGCAAGCUCCAGUGAACGACAGCUCUAACCCUGAGAGUUCUAAGGUAGCGUAACCCCUUGCCGGGUAAGUUCCGGCCCGCAUGAAAGGUUUAACGAGUUGAUAACUGUCUUGAACUGCUGCCCGACGAAAUUGAAAUGGCUGUGAAGAUGCGGCCUACCUGCACCCGGACAAAAAGACCCCGGGAGCUUUACUGAAACUUGACAUUGAUAAGAAGCUUUGAACUGUUUAGUGUAGGAGGGAGACUUCGGUCGCCAAUGAAACACCUCUCUUUCAAUUCUUUGAGUCUUACCACCGCAAGGCGGGAUAGUGUUAGGCGGUCAGUUUGGCUGGGGCGGCCUACUCCAAAAAGGUAACGGAGUUGUGCAAAGGUUGGCUUACUGCGUAUAGAAAUCGCAGUUUACGUGCAAACGCAAAAGCCAGCUUAACUGUGAGAAUGACUAUUCGAGCAGAUACGAAAGUAGGCGUUAGUGAUCCUCGAAUCCGCAGUGAUUGCGGAUCGGGCUUAACGAAUAAAAGCUACCCCGGGGAUAACAGGCUAGUCGCGUCCGAGCGUUCACAGCGACGACGCGGUUCGGCACCUCGAUGUCGGCUCAUCGUAUCCUGGAGGUGUAGUAGCUUCCAAGGGUUGGGCUGUUCGCCCAUUAAAACGGUACGCGAGCUGGGUUCAGAACGUCGUGAGACAGUAGACUUAUAAUGCUUAAACAUUAUUAACGUGCUGUGCUCUUUCCAUCGACUUCUAGAAUCUUCGAGAUUAGUGUUAUAUGGUCUUUUUGUAAAUUAAAUGUGGAAAUGUAAAUCUGACUAUUUGCUGGGAACUCCGAGUAUCUUGAACUACUCCGAUUAACAUCGUGAGUGAAAAUGUUGCAAGUGCGGAAAAUCAGCAGGAAAGGAUGGUUCAAACCAUCCGUCCUCAGAGACUAUACGUCAGAGUCCAGAUAUUUAUUAUCAGGAUAAGAUAUAGUCCGAACUGUAUGGCGACAUACAGAGCACUCAUAGAAAUAUGAUGCCUUGUAAUUUAUUACAAGUAACAUGUUUGUCGGUCUCUAUCCGGUGCAGGCGCUUUGAUUUUUGAGGGGACACUCUUCUAGUACGAGAGGACCGAAGAUGUGGAAAUCCCUGGUGUACCAGUUGUCCCAAAAGGGCAUCGCUGGGUAGCUAUAUUUCCUUUUGAUAAGCACUGAAUGCAUCUCAAGUGCGAAGCAUUCCCCAAGAUUAGAAAUCUUAAGUUUCCUCGAAGAAUACGAGGUUGAUAGGCGUCAAGUGUAAGCUCUGCAAGGAGUAUAGCUGAGACGUACUAAGUAACGUCUUCCGUCUCUUU